rnacentral:rRNA from 1 species
UACGUAGGGUGCGAGCGUUAAUCGGAAUUACUGGGCGUAAAGCGUGCGCAGGCGGUUUUGUAAGUCAGAUGUGAAAUCCCCGGGCUUAACCUGGGAACUGCGUUUGAAACUACAAGGCUAGAGUGUGGCAGAGGGGGGUGGAAUUCCACGUGUAGCAGUGAAAUGCGUCGAGAUGUGGAGGAACACCGAUGGCGAAGGCAGCCCCCUGGGUUAACACUGACGCUCAGGCACGAAAGCGUGGGGAGCAAACAGG